rnacentral:ribozyme from 14 species
AAAAUAAAAUUAUCAAAUCUUGGGUAAAUACAAUGCAUUGUUCUUUGACAAUUGCAUUUCCUGCUCUUUUUAUUUAUUUAUUUAUUUUUCAUUUUUCACUACGGGGUGUUUU